rnacentral:rRNA from 1 species
AUACGGAGGAUGCGAGCGUUAUCCGGAUUUAUUGGGUUUAAAGGGUGCGUAGGCGGGCUGGUAAGUCAGCGGUGAAACGCAGGGGCUCAACACCUGACCUGCCGUUGAAACUGCCGGUCUUGAAUGCGGAUGCUGUGGGAGGAAUGUGUGGUGUAGCGGUGAAAUGCAUAGAUAUCACACAGAACACCGAUUGCGAAGGCAUCUCACAAAUCCGUGAUUGACGCUGAGGCACGAAAGUGCGGGGAUCGAACAGGAUUAGAUACCCUGGUAGUCCGCACUGUAAACGAUGAUGACUCGCUGUCGGCGAUAGACAGUCGGUGGCCAAGCGAAAGCGAUAAGUCAUCCACCUGGGGAGUACGACCUCAAGGUUGAAACUCAAAGGAAUUGGCGGGG